GAUUUCUGGUUUGACGCGCUUGGUCCGCCUCGGUUACGAGUGUGUGUGCCGAUGCGCGUCUACCAUCCUUCUGGAAAACGGCCUUGCCCUUCACUGGGUGGGGGCCGCGAUCCAGAUCUAUUACUUUGAAAAAAUUAGAGUGUUUAAAGCAGGCGUUUGCUAUGAAUACAUUAGCAUGGAAUAAUAAUUUAGGACUUUGGUUCUAUUUUGUUGGUUUCUAGGACUGAAGUAAUGAUUGAUAGGGAUAGUUGGGGGUGCUAGUAUUUCGUGGCCAGAGGUGAAAUUCUUGGAUUCACGAAAGACUAACUUAUGCGAAAGCAUU
rnacentral:rRNA from 1 species